rnacentral:rRNA from 1 species
GAUGAACGCUGGCGGCGUGCUUAACACAUGCAAGUCGAACGGGAAUUACUUUAUUGAAACUUCGGUCGAUCUAAUUUAAUUCUAGUGGCGGACGGGUGAGUAACGCGUGGGUAACCUGCCUUAUACAGGGGGAUAACAGUCAGAAAUGACUGCUAAUACCGCAUAAGCGCACGGAACCGCAUGGUUCUGUGUGAAAAACUCCGGUGGUAUAAGAUGGACCCGCGUUGGAUUAGCUUGUUGGUGAGGUAACGGCUCACCAAGGCGACGAUCCAUAGCCGGCCUGAGAGGGUGAACGGCCACAUUGGGACUGAGACACGGCCCAG